rnacentral:rRNA from 1 species
CAAGUCGAGCGGCAGCGCGGGGCAACCUGGCGGCGAGCGGCGAACGGGCUGAGUAAUGCAUCGGAACAUGUCCAUGUCGUGGGGGAUAGCCCGGCGAAAGCCGGAUUAAUACCGCAUACGCCCGAGAGGGGAAAGUGGGGGACCGCAAGGCCUCACGCGAUUGGGUUGGCCGAUGUCCGAUUAGCUAGUUGGCGGGGUAAGAGCCCACCAAGGCGAUGAUCGGUAGCUGGUCUGAGAGGAUGAUCAGCCACACUGGGACUGAGACACGGCCCAGACUCCUACGGGAGGCAGCAGUGGGGAAUUUUGGACAAUGGGGGCAACCCUGAUCCAGCCAUUCCGCGUGAGUGAAGAAGGCCUUCGGGUUGUAAAGCUCUUUUGUCCGGAACGAAACGGUUAGGUCUAAUAAGCCUGACUACUGACGGUACCGGAAGAAUAAGCACCGGCUAACUACGUGCCAGCAGCCGCGGUAAUACGUAGGGUGCGAGCGUUAAUCGGAAUUACUGGGCGUAAAGCGUGCGCAGGCGGUUUUGUAAGCCAGAUGUGAAAUCCCCGGGCUUAACCUGGGAAUGGCAUUUGGGACUGCAAGGCUGGAGUACGGCAGAGGAGACUGGAAUUCCUGGUGUAGCAGUGAAAUGCGUAGAUAUCAGGAGGAAUACCGAUGGCGAAGGCAGGUCUCUGGGCUGAUACUGACGCUCAUGCACGAAAGCGUGGGGAGCAAACAGGAUUAGAUACCCUGGUAGUCCACGCCCUAAACGAUGUCGACUGGUU